rnacentral:tRNA from 1 species
GGAGCCGUGCCUGAAUACAAAGGGUCACUUUGAUAGAGUGAAUAACGGAGGUUCAAAUCCUCCCGACUCCU